AGUUUAAGGGUGCUGGGAUUUGUUAGACCUUCAUUCUCCUUCCUGAGCUACCAUUCCCAGAGUUCCAUGGGAAGAGGGAUUGCUUGUUAAACCACUCUAGGAAUAGGGCCUCAGCACUUUUAACAAGCUCUAGUUCCCAAUAUCCUUUGGGGGAGUGUUUAAAGUGGUAUAUUUACAGCCAUUCUUAUCUCAGUUAUGCUUUCUUCUUAAAAUCAGACCUUCGUGUUCAAUGCAGAAAGGCAGAGAGAGGAGGGUCAGCAUACACAGGAAUGCUGGGGGUGUGGCUAGCAGCCCUGUGCAUGCGCCCUCAUCCCCCAGAUCCCUCAUGCAUUCUCUUGAAUUUCUGAAGUGGGCUUCAGUCUCUGUCCAGUCUCCAAAUUGCUACUUCUUGCACACUUACUGUGCCAUAGACUAAGAUCUGUCCCAACCCUGCUGGUGAAUUGCCCAUUCAGGGAAACAUAGUCAUUUCCAAAGAUUAACAUUCCUUUGCCAAAGCCCCAACUGCUCAGUCACGCAGAUCAAACCAGUAAGCUCAUAAGAAUACGUAGAGAUAACAUCAGGGGGGAAAGUGGGGGUUUGGUUUUGUGUUUUUUGCUCUUACGUUUGUACUGCAUCCCAUUUGUGAGUUGUUGUGGUGUUGUUUUUUUAACUUUAAAACCAGCAGUCUUUUGAUUUUUAGUAUUAUGUUUCAACUUCUGUGAACAAAACAUUUUAAAUAUCACAAAUAAUAUCUAUCUGUAUCUAUACUCACUUUUUGUAUGUUCAUGCAUGAACUGGGUGCCAGUCUUCUUGGCUCCAGAUCGGGCAACUGCCGUGCAUUAUAGAUGGAGCAACUGUUGAAAAUGGUCCAGAAACUCCAAUUAGCUCUGAAUAUAUCUGAAAGACUGCUAGGCUCACCUGGGUAUUAUCAAUUCAUUACUUGAGCACUGGCUUUUGAGCACUGGCUUUUGAUCAAUUUCUGGGCCUAAUUCAAAGUGCUAAAGCCCCUUAUGGAUUGGGACCAGUUUAGAUCAAGUCUUGCCUGCUUCUGCAUGUACCUUACUAGGCUCUGAAAUCAGAGGCUUAUCUCUGUGUGGCCGUCCCAAGUGAGGUACAGCAGGCGACAGUGGGAGAUGGUUGGCUGCAUUGGGAUGUAAAACUAAAUCAUGUAACAACAAGCCCACUGGGUAAACUAUGGUUUGAAACUGGCUGCUUUCAACAAAUCAUGGUGAAGUGUAGCCACUGUUUGUCCAGGUUCAGAUGUCACAAGAAGCUGCAGUUAAUCCGAAAUGGAAGCAAGAGAUUCUGAACUCCUCCUCGCGGUCAUGUCAGAGGAAGAGGCAGAGGGAAGAAGGCUCACUGUGGCUCAUUCUUGUAACACCCUGGUUAAGCGCUGUGUCCAAAAAAGGGGUCAAUAUUAGUUACGAAUGAUAUAUUACAAGUGUUUGAUAAUAAUAGGCUAUUAAUUGGUUCUUGAAUGCAUAAUUGGAGUAAGUCAUCCUCUUUCUUAGUUCUAUAAAUUGGGGCUUUAAACAGAAAAUUGUUAUUGACAAUCAGUCCAGCUGAUUUGAUCAGUCAGUUUAUCAACUGCUGAUCAGAGAAACCUUGAGAGAGGCUGGAAAUUUAUGGGUUUUUGAGGGUCAGAAAAUCCCUGUAUUGCUAAAAAUAGAAAUAUGCCUUGGGCUGCACAAAUAACAACCCUACUAUGCUUCACACCAAGAGAGAGAGAAAGAGAGAGUUAAGAUUGCAGGGAGAGGGGAUAGAAGAGGCAAAUGGAAAUGUUUGGAGGCUGUGUGAAAAGCUGCUCCAUCUAGUUCACUAUUGCCUACACUGACUGGCAGAGGCUCUCCAGGGCUGCAAGCAAGAGUUGUUCCCAAUCCCAAUCAGGGACUGAACCUGAGACAUUUUGCAUGCAAGGCAUGUGCUUUACCACUGAGAAAUUACACUGAAGAAAUCAAUAACAUUUUUUAGAAAGAAAGAAAUUACACUGAAAACCCAGCUGAAGAUGCGGAGAGCCUUGUCUGAUAGCAAAUAUACUGCAUUUCCCCUGUUGAGAAACGGGUGAGCUUCACUCACCAGUGGUCAGUCAGUUUCAAUGCAAAUAUGGGAAGUUCCUACUUGGAAGAAAGAUCUGGCAAAUCUUGAUGGGACUAUUUUUCACAGCUGCCCGAAGCGACACAUAGAGGGCUUUCCUUGAGAGAAACAACCAGGGAACUUUGAAGUGAGGAAAAAGAGUUUCAAAAAGAGCAGCAAAUGUUUAAAGGAGGAGGGGCUGAACAUGACCCUCACAUAAGGAAGAUGUAUGCAACCCCAUUAGAAAUCUGUGCAAUGCCUAAAGCUGGCCAAAAGGUGGUGGGCAAAACCACCCCUGUGCCUCAUUUUAUUCAUAAAAUAUAAGCCCUAGUUCUUAUUUCAUAUAUCUUUCUUUGGUUUUUCCUCCUUUUCCUCCCUGAGUGCAGCCCAACUUCAUUAAAAUCCAUGAGAAUUUUGCUAUUGAUUUCAAAGAAAGAUGAAACGCACCCCAUGCUUCUCAAUCUCCCCUUCAUUCCGUAUUACCUCACCAACCCUUGUUAUCGCCUUUCCUUUAGUCGUGGAAAGAUUUCCUGCUCAGUAACAUAUAGAUAAGAUUGCAAAGACUCAGCAGCAGCAGCAGCUACCCGACUUGUUGACUGACCUAUCUGUCUGCUUCCUAUUAUGUAAGAUGCAGUUCUGAGAUGUCUUACUGCAUUAUUGUAUUGAUGAAGACUUUGUAGUUCCUGGUUUCCUGGAGUCUUGUAAAGCAUAAGAUAUUCAGAUCUUUCAUGUACCUUUGAAAGAGGCAGAACUUCCCUCCCUUAGCUUCAGGAGGGUCCAACAACUGCAUGUAAAAGGAUGUGCUUUUUCACGAGCAGAAUAUAACAAGCUCCAUUAGCGCUUGAGUGUAAUUGAGUAAGUAAGGAAGACGAAGAAUUCUCAAACUUGGUGACCCCUAAGUUAUAAGAGAAAAAGAACAACUUUCUUCAUAUAGUUAUGUGCACCACAGUCUCUGAGAGGUGAGACACCCCACGGGUUCCAGCACAAACUUUGGGUUUAGUUUACUGAAGUGAAGAUAACAGGAAAAUGGUGGCUUCUUCUGUGAUAUAAGGUAAAGUAUAUUUAUACACAGAGAUAAAGAAGGAGAGGCUAAGAUGGAAAGCUCAGAGCAUUAACAUGCCACAUUAGGUUUCUGGGAAGGGGGCCAAAGCCAUAUCUUUGGGUUCUCGCAGAGAGUAAGUCAAGCUUCUAUCGCUUUCUAGAUACAGCCACACCCAGAUGUUAAUGACAUCACCCUCAGCCAGGGGAGGGAAAAAGAAAGACAUGCCCCUUUCAGCUCACCUUCCAGAAGGGUCUCCAACUAUUAGCUUUGGUGACAACUAAUCACCAGCAUUUGGCUAACUCUUUAGUUAUGCAAAGUCCCAUUCUCCCAAGAUACUGGGGACAUGAAAUAUG
rnacentral:lncRNA from 1 species